CUACGGGUCGCAGCAGUGGGGGAUAUUGGACAAUGGGGGCAACCCUGAUCCAGCGAUGCCGCGUGUGUGAAGAAGGCCUUCGGGUUGUAAAGCACUUUAAUUGGAGAAGAAGUAUUAUCUGUAAAUAAUGGAUAAUAUUGACGGUAUUCAAAGAAUAAGCACCGGCAAACUCUGUGCCAGCAGCCGCGGUAAUACAGAGGGUGCGAGCGUUAAUCGGAUUGACUGGGCGUAAAGGGCGCGUAGGCGGAGGAUUAAGUGAGAUGUGAAAUACCCAGGCUCAACCUGGGGGCGUCAUCUUAGACUGAUUCUCUAGAGUGCAUCAGAGGAGAACGGAAUUUUCGGUGUAGCGGUGAAAUGCGUAGAUAUCGGAAAGAACAUCAGUGGCGAAGGCGGUUCUCUGGGAUGUAACUGACGCUGAGGCGCGAAAGCGUGGGUAGCGAACAGGAUUAGAUACCCCAGUAGUC
rnacentral:rRNA from 1 species